CCACACGAUCGAACAAUGCUCGACGGACAAAAUUGUUACCAACUACCAGUGGAAAGCGGAAAGGCUCGUUGAUGACGUCAGAAAGCGAGCACCAAGUGGUGUACCGGACAUUGUCCGUGUUCGCAGCAUCGAAACGUCAGACACUGUCUGGUGUGGAAUUAUACGAUACUGCCAGACACUCGACGAGCAAAGUCACUUGGUUACAGGAUUUUCAAAGUCCGUCAGUUCAUUAGUUCUCAUCGUCCUGUGACCAUGGCCAGCAGUACCUCAGUCAAUGAGAAGAGUUGCCACUGGGACAGAAAAGAGACCCUGCUACUAAUAGAACUAUACCGGCAGAAUCCAUGCCUAUGGAAUGUAAAGUCUACUGUGUACAAGGAUAGGAACAAACGUGUCGCGGCCAUUAAUGAAAUAACGGCAGGACUGAAUAGAAAUGGAUUAUCUGUUACUGCUUCUGAAGUGAAGAAAAAAAUAGAAUCCAUCCGUAGUCAAUAUAGGAGAGAACUACGAAAACAGGAGAAAUCAAAGAAGUCGGGGGCUGGUGCUGACGACAUUUACACCCCCAUAUUAUGGUGUUUUGAUGACCUCUGCUUCCGUCAACGAUGGCGACAGCAAGAGAGAAUCCGUGUCAAGUAUGGAUAGCCAAGUGUCUCUUGUGCCUGAAGAAGUGUCUGAUCAUGAGAUUUUCAAUGAUCCUAUACUUCAACAAAAUGAAGAUGGUUCUGUAACCCAUACAACACCAACGCCUGUCACACCUGUCCCAAGUACAUCGCAUGAUAAUGUACCACCUGCAACGCCCUGAGUCUUCACGCAUUCAGACUCAAACUACCCGAGGGAGAAAAAGGUCUUUACUCACUGACGAGAGGCAUGAGGUGCUUGAAGAAGCGCUUCAUCAACUGAAAGAAUUAUCUCGAUCGGAGAAGGAUAGCGAUGAAGAAAGUGCUUUUGGUGAUGUUGUUACCAAUGAUUUGCGAAAGAUGAAUGUAGAAAAUAGGAUCCAUGCACAGAAACUAAUUUCUGAGGUACUUUAUCUGGGGAAAUUAGGGAAGCUCACCUUUUCAUCCAAGGUUGUUGGCUAAUUAUGUAGUACGACCAUUAUUGUCUGUAUUGAAGUGGCAUUAAUAUGUUAACAAUAAAUCUGUGACAGUUAA